GUCAACGAAGCCACGCGAGGUAUUUGAAAGGCAAUCAGCCCGACCGUCCCCCUAGAUUCAUCGGAGAAGGAACUAGGUGAAUAUUGCCCUGGGUCCUGGUAAUUCUACCUACUGAAGACAAAAGCCCCUUCUGCUCAUAUUUCCUGAGUCAACAUGGCCGUUCCUAACUUUGAAGAGACUUUAGACAUUCUUUGUUACAAUGAGCCCAGAAGAAAGAAGAGAAAUGCUUCUACUCUCUACUCUCCUCCAAGAGAUGACCAGCAGAGAGCACUCUCACUGGGACCAGCACAGUGAUGCCUGGACUCCUGGACUCCUGCACUCCCAAACUGAAACAGAGUUCUAAAGUCACCAGGGAAGGAUUCCCACCUUGAAGGACUGUCAUCCUAUUUGACAACCUAUUGCACUAUCCUAAUGAUCUUCAUAAUCAAGAACACUUUUCCAAAUUGCUUUUUAUUUUGAAAAAAUUAGUUGUUAAUUGAUCGAUUGUGUGUGUGUGUGUGUGUGUGUGUGUGUGUGUGAAGGCCACAGAAUAAUUGAUAGCAGUUGUUUCUCUUCUUCUACCUUGUGGAGCCUGGUGAUUAAACUCAAGUCUUUACACUUGGUCAUAAGCACCGCCACCUACUGAGUCACCUCGCCUCCUGCUGGGUCACCUAACAACCUACUAAGUCACCUCACCACCUGCUGAGUCAGCUCACAAUCUGCUGGGUCACCUCAGCACUUGCUGAGUCAUCUCAUCACCUACCAAGUCACCUUGCCACCUGCUGGGUUACCUUACCACCUGCUGAGUCAGCUUACCAUCUGCUGAGUCACCUCAUCACCUGCUGAGUCAGCUCAUCACCUGCCAAGUCAGCUCACCAUCUGUUGGGUUACCUUACCACCUACUGAAUCACUUCAGUACUUGCUGAGUCACCUCACCACCUGCUGAAUCACCUCACCACCUGCUGAGUCAGCUUACCAUCUGCUGAGUCACCUCACUACCUACUGAGUCACCUCACCACCUGUUGGGUCACCUCACCACCUACUGAGUCAAGUCACCACUAACUGAGUCAGCUCACCACCUGCUGAGUCACCUCAUCACUAGCUGGGUCACCUCAUUAGCCCAUUGUUUCUAAAUCCUUCUCACUCAAGUUUAAGACCUGAGCUUCUCACUGCUAAAAGAGAGAACAGAUGGUUACAAAAUUCUGCAUACGAAUUCUUCGUUCUUUGGGAACAAACACACAUAUGUAUGUGUGUACCUUGAAACACAUACCCACAUCCACACAACCCUGAUCCUGUGCGUCCAUUCAGUGUUAUACAGUGAAAAGUUCAGCAUUUCUUACCUUUUGGGUAUUUUUUUUCUUUUGAAAUAUGCAUUAUUGCCCCCAUCGCAACUCCACAGGAGGACCUCAUAGUUGGUACUGCUAACCUGGUGUAGGUUUCUAAGUCAAUGACUAGGAAGAUAAUAGACCCAGGGGAGUCAGGCUGAUGGGCAGGGGUUGAAUCAGUCACUGUUGUUUUGCUAAAUGGACAUGUUGUUCAACUACUCUCUAUCUAUAUACCCGUAGAUCACAUCCUUGGUUAAAGAUGCUUUUGCUUGCCUUGGGACAUAACUGGUCCAUGUGCUGAGAAAAGGGACUCUUGGGUACUCAGCCCUAUGUGGGACAUCUGUAUAACACAUCCCCAGAGCUCAGGUAAUAUCCUGGGGGAAUAUAAGAGCUAUAGGAUGGGAAUUGGUGCUACAGAAUGCUGUUUGUGGAUAAGACAUGGCUGAUGCAUCCAUAACUCAGAGCAACAGUGGUUACUUGCUCAAGACCUUCACAAGACUGAGCUGUCAACCUUCUAACCUGGAUGGAAGACGGGGUCGUAAGAUCCCAUCCUUCCAUCGGAGCAACAGGCAACUAAAACUUGCACAGGGAAGGAAGAACUCUUUAUACUGCCGAGCCACGAUUGCAUUGCCCUCACCCAAAUAAAUGUAGGAAACCACAAUUAAAUAAGGUGAGUCGUCAAUAAACCACAAACAAACAAACAAACAAGCAAGCAACAGACAUAAAAGUUGGAGGACUGAGGAGAAGAGAUUUAUUGGGAGGCGAUAAGAGAAGAUGAGGACCACGAGGCAAUUUUGAUCAAAGAAUGUGCGAAACUGUAAAAAAAAAUAGUAAAUAUGUUAAAUACAUAAAAAUAAAGACAAAAAUACCACAGAUUAA
rnacentral:lncRNA from 1 species